rnacentral:lncRNA from 12 species
AUGAAGAAGAAGAAAAAGGUUUCAGUAUGGAAUAAAGUGUACAAAGUCAUUUCUAGAAUGCUUGAAGAAAAUGAAAAAUAUAGACUCAGACUGAAAUACCAACAAUUAUCUUGUGAAAGAUUAACCUCUCUUUGGAUCUGUUUACCAAAGAAGAUUGUGAAGAGUUUAAAGGUGGAACUUUAAAUUGAAUUAUAAUUAUAUGUUAAUUUUGGUGUGUUUUGUUGGAAUUGGGACUUUCAUAGUUGAAUAGAAAAACUACCUUUAUUAUAAAUUAAUAGUAUUUCUUUGCAAGUUAAUACAGAUUUUUGUUAAAUAUUGUUAUCAUGUGCACAUGAGUGUUAUGCAAGUGUUCUUCAAGUGUGAAUUAAUAUCCCAUAUUCUUUUAAGUUCCUCUUAUUCAUAAAAUUUAAAUUGAAAUAGUAAUAUAAUUGUAGGCAUGUACAAUUGCCAUUUUUCCCUUUUAUUAAUGCAUCUGCAACCAUCACUUUAUCCUUCUUUUAGAUGUAAAUGCUUUAAAUUAAACUUGGAUUCCAUUUAAAUUGUUUUUGGCUUCCUUCUUUUUUUCUAAAUUUCUCAAUUGCUUUAUGACAAAAGUCUACAAUUUACAUAGUGAUAGCUAUUUUGAGUGUUAAAACUAAUGGUUAGUUAAGCCAUCUUUUCGUCCUAAGGAAAAUUAGAAAAUUUGUGCAAAUUCUAAAUUGUAACAUGGAAUAUUUUAGGAAAAUUUAGGGGCAAAGAUCAGAGGAAACAUUCUUCUCCUUUCCAGACCCCUCAAUAAUAUUAUAUUAUGUUUUCAUCAGUGAAUGAGAAACUUAGAACUCUGAAAAGAAUUUAUAAAUAUUUCUCAGUGAAGUCUCAUUGUUUUCUACUCAACUAUUGCCAAGACCAUUUUUUUCUGCUUUUUGUUGAUGCAGUCUCUCUCCCUAAAUUGUAUCAUAAGCCUAGGUAGAACUGAAAACUUAGGAGAAAAAGACAAAAAGAAGUUUGCCCAUGAUAAAGGCAAGUAAAACAAAAUCAAACAGAAAAACCCCACAUGCAUCCUGAAUUCUUUACCAUAAAAAUCAAAGCACAUGUCUGGUAAACCUCUUUGGUUCUAGAGGCAGUACAUUCCUCACCUAGAAAUAUUGGCCAAACCCAUGUAUUAGGUGACACAGAAAGUUGCCAACUUUGAGUGGGAACCAGUGCAGGAAAGGGCUCUGCAGUAGGUCCAGCCCAACAUGUAAGCAGGCCUGCUGCUUGUGUCUUCUGACUUGGAAGACCCAGUGGUGUUGGAGAUACCAUUAGUGGGAAAAGAUGUAGUAUAAAGCUUAUGGAAAGCCAAACACAGACUUCAUGAUGGAAUUAUAAAUCAAGGCCAUGCUGUCCACAGCAUAAAAUUAAAUGCCAUGUGAGAGAUAGUUUUGACAUGUUUGGGGGCUCUGGUAGAGACAAAUUGCUUCGCCCUGAGGCAAAUAAACAAACUUCCUGCAGCA